rnacentral:tRNA from 1 species
GGGGUUGUGGCUCAGUGGUAGAGCACUUGCCUAGUAUGUAUGAGGCACUGGGUUUGAUUCUCAGCACCA